UUUUUUUGCAAGAAUUCUGAAAGUUUCAGACAAUGGAAUGAAUUAAGAAAUGACGACAAAUUCAGUAAGUAAAAAAUACUGCUUACAUAGCGGGUCACUGACUUUUCUACUGCUAUAACACCAUGAAGGUCACAUUGAACAGGGUUUCCGGUUUUAGGGUCUGAUACCACAAUGGCAGAACAAAGGCAUGGUGACAGGAACAACUGAGAGCUCACAUCUUGAUCCACAAGAAGAAGACAGAGACACUGAGAAUGGCAUUGACAUCUGAAACCUCAAAGCCAGUCCCCAGUGACACACCUCCUCCAACAAGACCACGCCUCCUAAUCCUUCCCAAAGAGUUUCACCAACUGGGGACCAAGAAUUCAGCUAUGUGAGCCUGUGUCGGGUAUCAUUGAACCACCUUAAAUACCGUCUAGAGUCACAGAAAGUCUAAGAAGAGGGUGAAUUGGAACCUGAGCAUCUUGGCUGCAGGAUCUGAGUGUUGAUGACAUAGGAGCCGAUGCCACUCCGGGGCCUGUUACCUCUUCUGUGCAUUAGGAAGAGGAAGGUCAUUGCUAUUUGCAGACCCUUGUUGAGCACCGGACGAAGCUGAGGUGGGCUGCCCUCAGAUCCUUUGUACCACUCUUCCCUCACUGUGCCACACCUGUCCCGGCUCUAUGCUAGGGGAUUCCUCUCUAUCACCAGGCUCUGCUAUCUAUCUCAGCAGAGUACAUGCUGGGACAAGACCUCCGUGUGAAAGCCCAAGCUCUCUGGUGACACUUCUUCUCCACCGGGAGGGUUGAGGAGUGACAUGAGGAUUUGGGGGGUAAGGGGAUCACCCAGGUUCUGAACUGACAGAUGAGAUGGGCUUCCCUCCUGUCCCGGUUGUACCUUGAGUGGUCUGCUAUUCAAGGGUUAAAGGGGACCAUGUGAGCCACUUAAGGAAAUAAACAGCUUUCCAACAUC